CCUACGGGUGGCUGCAGUGGGGAAUCUUAGACAAUGGGCGCAAGCCUGAUCUAGCCAUGCCGCGUGAGCGAUGAAGGCCUUAGGGUUGUAAAGCUCUUUCAGGGGGGAAGAUAAUGACUGUACCCCCAGAAGAAGCCCCGGCUAACUCCGUGCCAGCAGCCGCGGUAAUACGGAGGGGGCUAGCGUUGUUCGGAAUUACUGGGCGUAAAGCGCACGUAGGCGGACUGGAAAGUCAGAGGUGAAAUCCCAGAGCUCAACUUUGGAACUGCCUUUGAAACUCUCAGUCUUGAGGUCGAGAGAGGUGAGUGGAAUUCCGAGUGUAGAGGUGAAAUUCGUAGAUAUUCGGAGGAACACCAGUGGCGAAGGCGGCUCACUGGCUCGAUACUGACGCUGAGGUGCGAAAGCGUGGGGAGCAAACAGGAUUAGAUACCCUUGUAGUC
rnacentral:rRNA from 1 species